AAUAUUUGACGUCGUUGACUUUUAAAAACAUGUUUGACCGUUCGUCUUAUUAAAAAAAAUUAAGUGAUUAUUAAUUUUUUUCCUAUCAUUUGAUUAAUUGUUAAAUAUACUUUUAUGUAUACAUAUAAUUUUACAUAUUUUACAAAAGUUUUUGAAUAAGACGAACGGUUAAACAUGUUUAAAAAAAUCAACGGCAUCAAAUAUC
rfam:Oryza sativa (indica cultivar-group) chromosome 4, whole genome shotgun sequence.